GAUGAACGCUGGCGGCGUGCCUAAUACAUGCAAGUCGAGCGAACGGACGAGAAGCUUGCUUCUCUGAUGUUAGCGGCGGACGGGUGAGUAAAACGUGGAUACCCUACCUAUAAGACUGGGAUAACUUCGGGAAACCGUAGCUAAUACCGGAUAAUAUUUUGAACCGCAUGGUUCAAAAGUGAAAGACGGUCUUGCUGUCACUUAUAGAUGGAUCCGCGCUGCAUUAGCUAGUUGGUAAGGUAACGGCUUACCAAGGCAACGAUGCAUAGCCGACCUGAGAGGGUGAACGGCCACACUGAGACUGAGACACGGUCCAGACUCCUACGGGAGGCAGCAGUAGGGAAGCUUCCGCAAUGGGCGAAAGCCUGACGGAGCAACGCCGCGUGAGUGAUGAAGGUCUUCGGAUCGUAAAACUCUGUUAUUGGGGAAGAACAUAUGUGUAAGUAACUGUGCACAUCUUGACGGUACCUAAUCAGAAAGCCACGGCUAACUACGUG
rnacentral:rRNA from 1 species